CUCAUUGUUUUUUCUGUUUUACUUGGAUUCAGGUAGAAUUAAAGGUUUAAUCACAAAUUCACCCUAAACUUUGUAGUUUAGAAAAUUUAGAGAGGAAAAAUAAUAUUUUUCUUCAUUUCCUCCUUCAGUAUCAUGGAGAAAUGAGUCCAUGUUAUUUGGUUAUCCAGUGGUGACUGUGCGCUUCAUUUCAUGCACUGCUUUAUGUGUGAGACUGCAGCGCCCUCUGGAGGAGUCAUCGGUUACUGUUAGAAAGAAAUGCCAUAAAGUCAUAAGAUAAGCAUGGCCGUUAUCGUGCUAUAGAGCCAGGACUGGUUUGCAAACAUGUCAUGGAUCACAGAAACACAUCCAAAGGCUACAUGGACAAUAAGAGCUACAGCACUACAUUUUAACUACAUCCAUGAAAACCCGAUCCUGAUCCCUUCCAGCACACCGUUACAGCGCAGCUGGUGCAUGACCAGAGGAUUCUCCAUCGCCCCAGGAGUCUUGGUCUCAUUGGGGAUGAUGCAGCGCACAAAAUGAGGAAACCGCUGCAAUGCUGGCAAAGUACUGGAUGACUCUCUUGGUGUUCACAGUCUUUCCUGCACCAGAUUCUCCACUGGGGAUAAAAACCAGUUAUGUAUGUGAGCUUGUGAGACAUCUCUGUCUUAAUAAUAAAAACAGAUCUGGUUAUCGGGACUGACUUACGUGA